GGCCGCCCCCGCUGGGGGAUGAGCGGACCCCGGGGUCCCUCAGCCGCCCGCCGCCACGCUCUGAGGGAGGUCCGGCGGCGGCCGUGCGGCCCCGGCUGAUGUGCUGGAGAGCGAUGGACUCUAGGGGUCUUGGUUCUGGAAAAUAAGCGCUAAAUAACACCCCCCUGCCCCCCCCUUUCUCUCCCCCCAUAAAAGAAACGAAAAAUCAACCCACGAUUCCUCUCAACGCUGAUCGAAUGUGCAGCGAAAAGAAGCAAACUUUGUUUUGCUCACAGCAACGUUUGUUUGUCAGCACGCGUCGGAGGCAGCAUCUGUCCUGCGUGGCUGACAGAUCUCUGCACCGCAGUAACUUCCACCCUCGUGGGUUUCUGGUUCUGAGGCUUGGAAAGACAAAGUGCUUCACGUGAGGAUGUGUUACACAGCCCUGAGCUCAGAGAUGGAAAGUGAAGAUGGUCCGUAUCAAACCAACUGGGAGUCCAGAGAAAGCCGCUGCUUCCCCCUGAUCGGCGCCAGCUGGACUUGUCUGUCUUCUGGGUGCCAGGACCUGUAAUUAAUCCUAAGUCUUUCAGCCCAUUCAGAGGUAUUAUUUCUUGUUGCUCUCCAACAGACUCUUUCCAUAACAGCCUACAGCCUUCUUGAAAUGCAGAGCGCAAAACUGGAGAGAAAAUACCAGCUGAAGCAUUACCAGAGGUGAACAUAACUGCAUGAUCUCAGCAUAUGUCUCAUACCUGCUUAUUCAUCUCUGCAUCAUAUUUGUUCUGUCUCUUCAGUGUGACAUUAUUGUUUGUGCUGAUCCACUAUAAUCACUACGUGUUGUUCUGAAAA